rfam:Camelus ferus unplaced genomic scaffold scaffold164, whole genome shotgun sequence.
GAGGCUAUAGCUCAAGAUCUAGAGCACAUGCUUAGCAUGCACGAGGCCCUGGGUUCAAUCCCCAGUACCCCCU